rnacentral:rRNA from 1 species
AAGAGACAGCAGUCGCCACGGUAAUACAGAGGGUGCGAGCGUUAAUCGGAUUUACUGGGCGUAAAGCGUGCGUAGGCGGCUUUUUAAGUCGGAUGUGAAAUCCCUGAGCUUAACUUAGGAAUUGCAUUCGAUACUGGGAAGCUAGAGUAUGGGAGAGGAUGGUAGAAUUCCAGGUGUAGCGGUGAAAUGCGUAGAGAUCUGGAGGAAUACCGAUGGCGAAGGCAGCCAUCUGGCCUAAUACUGACGCUGAGGUACGAAAGCAUGGGGAGCAAACAGGAUUAGAUACCCGUGUAGUCCCUGUCUCUUAUAA